rnacentral:rRNA from 1 species
CGUAGGUGGCAAGCGUUGUCCGGAUUUAUUGGGCGUAAAGGGAGCGCAGGUGGUUUCUUAAGUCUGAUGUGAAAGCCCACGGCUUAACCGUGGAGGGUCAUUGGGAACUGGGGAACUUGAGUGCAGAAGAGGAAAGUGGAAUUCCAAGUGUAGCGGUGGAAUGCGUAGAUAUUUGGAGGAACACCAGUGGCGAAGGUGACUUUCUGGUCUGUAACUGACACUGAGGCUCGAAAGCGUGGGGAGCGAACAGGAUUAGAUACCCUGGUAGUCCCUGA